rnacentral:rRNA from 1 species
AACGAACGCUGGCGGCAUGCCUAACACAUGCAAGUCGAACGAGACCUGCGGGUCUAGUGGCGCACGGGUGCGUAACGCGUGGGAACCUGCCCUGAGGUUCGGAAGAAAGCCGCGGAAGGGGUGCGAAUACGGGAGAAUGUCCUCGGACCAAAGUUUGGUAGACUUUGGGUGGGCCCGCGUUGGCUUAGCUAGUUAGUAGGGUAAAAGCCUACAAAGGCGACGAUCCAUAGCUGGUCUGAGAGGAGGAUCAGCCACACUGGGACUGAGGCACGGCCCAGACUCCUACGGGAGGCAGCAGUGGGGAAUAUUGGCCAAUGGGCGAAAGCCUGAUCCAGCACUGCCUCGUGAGUGCUGAAGGUCUUAGGGUUGUACAGCUCUUUUACCGCGAUGAUAAUGACCGUACCGGGCGAAUAAGCCCCGGCUAACCCCGUG